UAACCCGGCAUCAAGUGUUAUUAUUUUAAUAGUGCGAUUAAAUUCUGGAGUUUUUGUUGUUAUUUAAGAAUAUGUUAUUACAUAACCCAUCGUAGGUAUUAUCCAAAUAUUAUAUUUGUCUGUAUUUUCAGUAUCGGUUGUGCUCUGUAACCGUCCGUAUUAUUUAUAUUGCACGUUUUUUUUCAUUCACCGCAGCCGCGUCCACCAUGUCUGUGUCUAAAUUGGUAAAAAUGGUGAAAUUCAAUAACGGUCAUGUGUACCCUUCGUUGGGCCUGGGAACGUGGCAGGCCACUGCCACUGUUGACGAGUCGGGCCAACAAGCGGUUUACGAAGCUGUUAAAAGUGCAAUAGACAUAGGGUAUCGUCACAUCGACGGUGCUUAUAUCUACAACAAUGAAAAGGCAGUCGGAAGAGCUAUUAAAGAUAAAAUCAAAGAAGGAGCCAUUACGAGAGACGAUAUGUAUAUAACUAGUAAGCUGUGGAACGACAAACACGAACCCGAAUUAGUUCAAACUACUUUGAAAGAUACUUUAAAAGAUUUGGGCUUAGACCACGUCGAUUUGUAUCUUAUUCAUUGGCCAUUUUCCCAAAUUAAAGACAGUGAUGAUAAUCUUGUAGGAAUUGAUAUUCCCAUUACGGAAACGUGGAAAGCAAUGGAAGGGUGUGUUAAAGCUGGACUUACAAAAUCCAUUGGAUUGUCAAACUUCAAUAUUAGACAAGUAAAAGCAAUUUUAGAAGUAGCGACCAUCAAGCCUGUGGUGAACCAGGUUGAAAGCCACCCUUAUUUAACGCAAAAAAAACUCAAAGAAUUUUGUGACAAGAACGACAUACGCCUGACCGCUUACGGGCCGUUGGGAUCGCCUAAAAGGUCUUGGGCAGAUCAGGACGAACUGGCUGUGCUCGAAGAACCUGUUGUGAAAAAAAUCGCAGAAAACCACAAGAAAACGGCGGCUCAGAUAUUAAUUAAAUUCCAACUUCAAAGAGGCCUUUUAGUCAUUCCAAAGUCGGCAAAUCCGGAAAGGCAGAAACUUAACAUGGACGUAUGGGAUUUCGAGUUGAGUGAAGACGAAAUCAAAGAACUAGAAUUUUUGGACAAGAAUAUUCGUUAUUUUCCUUUCAUCUCGGCGAAAGAUUUAAAAGAGUAUCCGUUCCACGAAGAGGCUUAAUGUGUUAAACGACGAUUUAUCAAACAAGUUGACAUAAUAAAAAAAAAAAUGUUUAUUUUAAUAUCAAUGUUGAAUUUAUACAAUUUUAAAAAAAUGUUUAAAGAAACUUGUAACGUUGCUGCCAAAAAUGCCCAUUUGGACUCGGAAAAAAAGGAUUUGUCAAAAAAGAACUCGAGAUUUCUAUUUUUAAAAGCACACAGCCUUUAUUAGCCUACGGUACUUAAACAUUUAUAAAUAUACAUAAAUUAUAUUAAAUAUACAAAGGUAAAAUAAUGGUACUUGCAACAAGAGGAAUUAUAUUGUAAAAGGUUUGGUAAUUUGAUUCGCUAGAAAAAUUAGAGUGGUGUGAAUAGGGACUUUUUUUUUUAUAUAGCGGUUAGUACCACAAAACUUACAAUGUGUUUCUUUUGAUACCCGAGGGAUAUUUGAGCUUAAUGCCAUAUUUUUUAUCGACAUUCAAACAAUGCAUCGGGUCGCAAGUGAUUUAGUGAUUACUAUAUUAUGUGUUAUACUGUGCACUACAUACGAUGGCACUCAAUUGACAGUGGCGGUGGUGGUUUCAAAUCACGUAGUUGUUAAAAUCAAAACUACUUUUCGAACAACGUCUUAUCCAAUUCUCCGUACACUUUUUCAAAUUCUUCUUUGCUGCAACAAUACACCAGCCCGUCGUUAGCGUCGUUGCCCUCGUAGCCAUCGGGACACGUGUUGGGGCAAAUGUACACGUCGUCAGUGAUGUUCAUGAAAGGGUUGUUCAGCCCCAAGUACACUGUGCCAUCGUCGUCGUCCACGUUGUAGACCAGCUUCCAGUAGUACAGAGGCACUGGUAACCUGUAGGGUGGAUCCAGGUGAAUGGGCUGCUGCUCGCCGUCGACGUCUUCCAGCGUGCAAACGCCAUAAGUGCCCGUGACAAUCACGUACCGGGAACUGUCGUUGGACAACUUCAGUCUGGUAUGGUUCUCCAGCUGGGACCACAGUUUGCCGUUGAAUACCUGCCAUUGUGGGGCCACGUUCGCGUAGUAAUAACUGCAAAAUCGUCCGUAAUACGUCACAAAUGAUUGGCCAUAAGGUUUCGUGACAUUUUCGUGUCUUUACUUUGGCACACAACAAGGAAAA